rnacentral:sRNA from 1 species
GGGACCUUGGACCCCACAGGUCCAGGCUGGCGCUGGCCUGGGCUCCACAGCCUCCCAAGGCCCCCAUGGGGCCUUGGGCGGGGGCAUCAGCCAUGACCGGACGUUUAGAGUUCUGGUUCCGUCUCUCAUUUGGGGCGUCGGAUAAAAAUCCAGGCUUCCGGACCCAGCCCACACUGCAUCAGAGUCAUCAGGAAACUCUGGUUGUGGCAGGCGCCACAAGUGAGCUGGUUUGACCACUGACUUAGUUCAACACCGCCAUUUCGCUUGUAGAAAAGUGAACCCCGAGAAGGCACAGAACUUACCUGAAGUCGCCAGGCAGUUAGGCAGCAGGGCCGAGGUCAGAACCCGGGCUGUCUUCAGCUGCCUCUUCCCCAGCGUAUCUUGAUUCAGUCAGGAAUACCGCAGCAAGGUGAUUCUGUGGCCAGAAUUCUUUGUUGGGUGAUAGUAGGGUGUUGAAGUGCACUUUGGUGUCAGAGGGCUGCCCAGGAGCUGCAGGACAAGCACCAGGAGCCCCUCCGGGUAGCUACUACCCUGGACCCCCCAGUAGUGGAGGGCAGUAUGGUAGUGGGCUACCCCCUGGUGGUGGUUAUGGGGGUCCUGCCCCUGGAGGGCCUUAUGGACCACCAGCUGGUGGAGGGCCCUAUGGACACCCCAAUCCUGGGAUGUUCCCCUCUGGAACUCCAGGAGGACCAUAUGGCGGUGCAGCUCCAGGGGGCCCCUAUGGUCAGCCACCUCCAAGUUCCUACGGUGCCCAGCAGCCUGGGCUUUAUGGACAGGGUGGCGCCCCUCCCAAUGUGGAUCCUGAGGCCUACUCCUGGUUCCAGUCGGUGGACUCAGAUCACAGUGGCUAUAUCUCCAUGAAGGAGCUAAAGCAGGCCCUGGUCAACUGCAAUUGGUCCUCAUUCAAUGAUGAGACCUGCCUCAUGAUGAUAA